UCGAGAAUCUUCGGCAAUGGGGGAAACCCUGACCGAGCGACGCCGCGUGCGAGAUGAAGGCCUUCGGGUUGUAAAUCGCUGUCAGAGGGGAGGAAAUGCUAGUGGGUUCUCCCAUUAGUUUGACCUAUCCUCAGAGGAAGGACGGGCUAAGUUCGUGCCAGCAGCCGCGGUAAGACGAACCGUCCAAACGUUAUUCGGAAUCACUGGGCUUAAAGGGUGCGUAGGCGGUCCGGGAAGUUGGGUGUGAAAGCCCUCAGCUCAACUGAGGAAUUGCGCCCAAAACUGCCGGGCUGGAGGGAGACAUAGGUGAGCGGAACUUAGGGUGGAGCGGUGAAAUGCGUUGAGAUCCUAAGGAACACCAGUAGCGAAAGCGGCUCACUGGGUCUCUUCUGACGCUGAUGCACGAAAGCUAGGGGAGCGAAGA
rnacentral:rRNA from 1 species